rnacentral:rRNA from 1 species
UGGGGAAUAUUGGACAAUGGGGGGAACCCUGAUCCUGCCAUGCCGCGUGUGUGAAGAAGGCCUUAUGGUUGUAAAGCACUUUAAGCGAGGAGGAGGGUACUGGUAUUAAUACUACCAGGUACUGGACGUUACUCGCAGAAUAAGCACCGGCUAACUCUGUGCCAGCAGCCGCGGUAAUACAGAGGGUGCGAGCGUUAAUCGGAUUUACUGGGCGUAAAGCGUGCGUAGGCGGCUAAUUGAGUCGGAUGUGAAAUCCCCGAGCUUAACUUGGGAAUUGCAUUCGAUACUGGUUAGCUAGAGUGUGGGAGAGGAUGGUAGAAUUCCAGGUGUAGCGGUGAAAUGCGUAGAGAUCUGGAGGAAUACCGAUGGCGAAGGCAGCCAUCUGGCCUAACACUGACGCUGAGGUACGAAAGCAUGGGGAGCAAACAGG